GUGGGGAAUUUUGGACAAUGGGCGCAAGCCUGAUCCAGCAAUGCCGCGUGCAGGAAGAAGGCCUUCGGGUUGUAAACUGCUUUUGUACGGAACGAAACGGCUCUGGUUAAUACCCGGGGCUAAUGACGGUACCGUAAGAAUAAGCACCGGCUAACUACGUGCCAGCAGCCGCGGUAAUACGUAGGGUGCAAGCGUUAAUCGGAAUUACUGGGCGUAAAGCGUGCGCAGGCGGUUUUGUAAGACAGGCGUGAAAUCCCCGGGCUCAACCUGGGAAUGUAGCUUGUGACUGCAUAGCUUGAGUGCGGCAGUGGGGGAUGGAAUUCCGCGUGUAGCAGUGAAAUGCGUAGAUAUGCGGAGGAACACCGAUGGCGAAGGCAAUCCCCUGGGCCUGCACUGACGCUCAUGCACGAAAGCGUGGGGAGCAAACAGGAUUAGAUACCCCUGUAGUCC
rnacentral:rRNA from 1 species